rnacentral:rRNA from 2 species
UUAAAUUGAAGAGUUUGAUCAUGGCUCAGAUUGAACGCUGGCGGCAGGCCUAACACAUGCAAGUCGAACGGUAACAGAAAGCAGCUUGCUGCUUUGCUGACGAGUGGCGGACGGGUGAGUAAUGUCUG